UACGUAGGGGGCAAGCGUUAUCCGGAUUUACUGGGUGUAAAGGGAGCGCAGGCGGCGUGGCAAGUCAGAUGUGAAAACCCGGGGCCCAACCCCGGGAGUGCAUUUGAAACUGCCAUGCUGGAGUGCCGGAGAGGUAAGCGGAAUUCCUGGUGUAGCGGUGGAAUGCGUAGAUAUCGGGAGGAACACCAGUGGCGAAGGCGGCCUGCUGGACAUUAACUGACGCUGAGGCGCGAAAGCGUGGGGAGCAAACAGG
rnacentral:rRNA from 1 species